AGCAAAACAAAGAAAAGCAGAGCAGAAGCCCAUCGCCUGGGGAAACUGCAAGUUCUAAGGGGUCUCAUAAGCUGUGGAAGGUGGUAGCAUAGUGGUAGAUCUGUCCAAUCUUGGUGCAAAGCAUGUAAUCAUAUUUGUUGUGUUUUCAUUGCUGGGGCAUAUUUGGGAGGAGAUUUACCUCAACACCAUGGUGUUAUCACAAUGCUGCUCUCUUAUUAGUGAAAGAAAAAACAUAGGUUCUCUCCACGGAACACUGCAGAAGCAUGAUGGGUAAUUCGUUUGACAAGCUGGCAGGGCCAAGAUACCUGGCUUAUGACUACAUCAUUUACAAUAAAGUACCUGCUGUACAGCUGCCAAGCUUGCCAUGAGUGUGCAAACAUUUGGAAUUCAGACCACAAGAAUGCUGUCUGAGUCUUCAGGCACCCGGUCAUCUGGGUCCAGGUUGAUGCUGCAGCAUGUCUUCUAACCCGCCUACCACCAGAGGGCAGCAGCGUACAUUCACAACAAUUGUUGAGAAGUCAGGAAGCCCAGGAAUCUUAUGUGUGGAAGAGGACAUAGCAAAAGAAGAAGAAUUCCAUACCACCUGCGUUCAUGCCUGCCAUGCCCUGGGUUUGGGCCCCAAUCUGAACCAUCUCCUGCACAUAACCAUGCAAUCAUAAUGAGGAAUCUUGAGAUCUGUGACAAUCUCUCUCUUCUCCCCAGCCCACAGCUCCAUUAUACCCCACUCUAAUCACUAAGGAUCACUCAAGAUACUUCACUGUCUUCCGUUUUUCCAAAGUCCCUAAGUCACUUUAAGACUUUCUAUGUCCUCUGUAAACAGUCACAUACUCAUGUCUGAGGCUAGGUACACAUGCGGAGAUAAGAGUGUAAGAGACAAGAAUGAAGGAGAGAAAAGUGAGGAAGGAAAAAUAAAGAGCUAUUUAUGUGGUAGGUCUGUGUUCCCCAAACACCAUGGGAUGAUCCAAG
rnacentral:lncRNA from 1 species